rfam:Pelodiscus sinensis unplaced genomic scaffold scaffold339, whole genome shotgun sequence.
CAACUGGCUUUAUUACAAAGCCACAAACCUCUAUUGAAAGAAGAAGU